rnacentral:misc_RNA from 1 species
AACUUUCAACAAUGGAUCUCUUGGCUCUCGCAUCGAUGAAGAACGCAGCGAAAUGCGAUAAGUAAUGUAAAUUGCAGAAUUCAGUGAAUCACCGAAUCUUUGAACGCACCUUGCGCCCCUUGGACAUACCGAGGGGCAUGACUGUUUGAGUAUCAUGAACACCUCAACUCUCUACGGUUUGCCGUGCUGCGCUCGGACUUUGGAGGCUUGCUGGCCCACGGUCGGCUCCUCUCAAAUGAAUCAGCUUCCCAGUGUUUGGUGGCGUCACGGGUGUGAUAACUAUCUACGCUCGCGGCAGCCUGCCUCGUAACCUUCGGAGACGGAGGUUCGCUGGAGCUCAAAAACGUCUCUCCUCAGCGAAGACAGCUUUUUUAACGUUCGAUCUCAAAUCAGGUAGGACUACCCGCUGAACUUAAGCAUAUCAAUAAGCGGAGGCU